rnacentral:rRNA from 1 species
UGCGCGCUAGAUGUUGCGGGAUUCGACCCCGCCAGUGUCGCAGCAAACGCGUUAAGCGCGCCGCCUGAGAAGUACGAUCGCAAGAUUAAAACUCAAAGAAAUUGACGGGGGCCCGCACAAGCGGUGGAGUAUGUGGCUUAAUUCGAUGCAACGCGAAGAACCUUACCUGGCCUUGACAUGCUUAGUUCAUUCAUGGAAACAUGAUGUCCCGCAAGGGAGAUUUGCACAGGUGCUGCAUGGCUGUCGUCAGCUCGUGUCGUGAGAUGUUGGGUUAAGUCCCGCAACGAGCGCAACCCUUAUGUCCUGUUAAAUUAACUCUGGACAGACUGCCCUGCUAUAACGGGGAGGAAGGUGAGGAUGACGUCAAGUCAGGAUGGCCCUUACGGCCAGGGCUGCACACGUACUACAAUGCCUGGUACAAUGGGCGGCAAGACCGCGAGGUGGAGCCAAUCCCCAAAACCAGGCCCAGUUCGGAUCGCAGGCUGCAACUCGCCUGCGUGAAGCCGGAAUCGCUAGUAAUGGCGCAUCAGCUACGGCGCCGUGAAUACGUUCCCGGGCCUUGUACACACCGCCCGUCACAUCAUGAAAGCCUGUUGUCCCCGAAGUGCCUUUGGCCCUAAGGAAUGACCGGUAAUUGGGAUGAAGUCGUAACAAGGUAGCCGUAGGGGAACCUGCGGCUGGAUCACCU